rnacentral:lncRNA from 1 species
CGCGUGGGGAGGACUCUGGGAUGGCUGAGCAUGCUGCACGCAUGCAAUUGAGAAGCAGGUGAGUGUGUUUCGAAAGGGGCAGCGCAGAACGGCGGGGGGAGUGGCUGAGUUGGAGCUGGCAGGGAAGACAGGAGGUGAUUGGCGGAUAGGGUCAUGUUUGGAGGUGAUCCAAGAAGGAGAAGGAGCCACAGGAUACUUAUGAACAGAAGACACCAUAGCUCUUCAUUACAUGUUAACAAGAGUCGCAUAACUAAACCAACAGACCAACAGGCACAGGUCUUCUUCAUGCUGAUUUGGAAAGCCAAUUAAAAAUUAACUGAUACUUUAAUACACAUUUGCAUAUAAAUUUUCAUUUAAAAAGAAACAGACUGUUGCUCUCACCAUAUGCCUCUUCCUCAUUUAGUCCUCUGCAGCGAGGAGUAAGUGAGAGUCUCCACACACAUAGGGCAGCGAUGAACAGAGGAUGACUUCAAAAGCGGCUGGGAUUCCUGGGGGAAGCCAAUUCCGUGGCCCGGAAGCCCAAAAUUCCCACUCCUGCGUGUUUUUCCUGUCAGGGCUUUACUCACUUUGGUAUCUUCUGAUGAGUUACAAACCUGUCAGUACUUCAGUGCCUCACGAGAGGAGGGAGCCCUCCAGCCCAUCCUCUGGAUCAGAAGGGGCAUGCAGUCUGCGGCUGGGUCUGCAUAGGAUUGAAGGCUGGUUUCCAGCAGAGAUGAUGUCACCCUAUGGGAAUGAGUCCCGAUGUCAACAAGGAUGAGCGAUGGAGGAGGACAAGAGACUGCAGAAUCUGAAUUGAUAGUGUCUCCGAUUCCCACACCUUCUAUGCCCCACCCUGCUAAACUGAGAAGGGACAUGGUGCUUCGGAUUGAUUGCUGCUAAGGUGGUUCUGGUAACUUCGCCUUGCUCUUAUGACAAGGGACUUUGGAACACCGACAGCGAAUAAACUGUGCAAGAAAACACAGCAAAGAAAGGAAUUCUGAAGAUGAGUAAAUACUUCACAUCUUCCUCAUCCUGACACAAUACAAUAAAGCAGAAUGGUUAACGAAGUCUUGCUAUUCUUUCAGCCUUGAUCACUCUGUAUUAUAUAUUAAGGAUAAAGCUGUUCAACCCAAAAGGCCUCCCACGUCGUACUACAGAGAAAUGGCAGACAUUUCUCAUGGAAAGGCAC